rnacentral:rRNA from 1 species
UUCCGGUUGAUCCUGCCGGAGGCCAUUGCUAUCGGGGUCCGACUUAGCCAUGCUAGUUGUGCGGGUUCAGACCCGCAGCAGACAGCUCAGUAACACGUGGCCAAACUACCCUAUGGACGAGGACACCCUCGGGAAACUGAGGCUAAUCCACGAUACGGCUCCUACGCUGGAACGCGGGGAGCCGGAAAGGCUCCGGCGCCAUAGGAUGUGGCUGCGGCCGAUUAGGUAGACGGUGGGGUAACGGCCCACCGUGCCCAUAAUCGGUACGGGAUGUGAGAGCAAAUAGCCCGGAGAUGGUAUCUGAGACAAGAUACCAGGCCCUACGGGGCGCAGCAGGCGCGAAACCUUUACACUGCGCGCCAGUGCGAUAAGGGGACCCCGAGUGCGAGGGCAUACAGUCCUCGCUUUUGUACACCGUAAGGAGGUAUACGAAUAAGGGCUGGGCAAGACCGGUGCCAGCCGCCGCGGUAAUACCGGCAGCCCGAGUGAUGGCCGCUGUUAUUGGGCCUAAAGUGUCCGUAGCCGGCCGAACAAGUCUGUCGGGAAAUCCAUCUGCCUAACAGAUGGGCGUCCGGCAGAAACUGUUCGGCUUGGGGCCGGAAGAUCCGAGGGGUACGUCCGGGGUAGGAGUGAAAUCCCGUAAUCCUGGACGGACCGCCGGUGGCGAAAGCGCCUCGGAAGGACGGACCCGACGGUGAGGGACGAAAGCUGGGGUCUCGAACCGGAUUAGAUACCCGGGUAGUCCCAGCCGUAAACGAUGAUCGCUAGGUGUGGCACAGGCUACGAGCCUGUGCUGUGCCGUAGGGAAGCCGUGAAGCGAUCCGCCUGGGAAGUACGUCCGCAAGGAUGAAACUUAAAGGAAUUGGCGGGGGAGCACUACAACCGGAGGAGCCUGCGGUUCAAUUGGAUUCAACGCCGGA